GACAGAGGUGCCGAGCGUUAGGCGGAAUCACUGGGCUUAAAGCGUGUGUAGGCGGGCGGGCAAGUACCUUGUGAAAUCCCACGGCUCAACCGUGGAACUGCUGGGUAUACUGCCUGUCUUGAGCCAGCUAGGGGCGAGCGGAACAGACGGUGGAGCGGUGAAAUGCGUAGAUAUCGUCUGGAACGCCGAAGGUGAAAACAGCUCGCUGGGGCUGUGCUGACGCUGAGACACGAAAGCCAGGUGAGCGAACGGG
rnacentral:rRNA from 1 species